UCGUUCAUAAUUUCGUGUGAAAUAGUCCCACCUCGCUCCUUUAAACUGAUUCUCAUCUAUUUAAAUAUGUUUGCACUUGUCUGUAAUAUCAAUCAGCCUCCUCCAAAACAAACAAACGGAGUGACAAUACAUGGGAGAGAAACAACAAAGGGUCAAAUCCUGGGCGGCGCUCCUCGAUCUGGUAUCUGGAUCGACUCAGUCCAUACGGGGAAGAGAGAGAGAGACAGAGUCAGGAACGGGCGCCGGCGACCUUCGCUCCUGCAUGCAUAAUAGGCAUAUGAGAACGCGGUGACGAAAUUAGAGAGAGACACGAGGGGGAAGGGCAAGGGACGGGGGGAUACAGCGGCGGCGCUCCUCGAUCUGGUCUGGAUCGACGCAGUCCAUACGGGGAAGAGAGAGAGACAGACGGGGCGAGGCGAUAUGGGAUAACUUUGAAGUGUCGCUUGAAUGUACACGUUAUGGUUGUACGUGGCGCUCCUCUUACAUGAAGUAGUGCGUGGCUACGUGCGAUGGAAAGGGCCAGGCC
rnacentral:lncRNA from 1 species